AUGGAAGCCCUGCACCGCCUGCUGCAGGGGCUGGUGGGCAGCCCUGGCACCACUGUCCUCAUGGAGCUGCAGAACAUCUUGGAGGUCUGGCUGUGGCAAGGCUGGGAUUUGCGGGGACAGUUCAAGGCUGUGAAGGAGGGUCCAUGCAAGGUCCCCCCAGGGCCUGCUACAGGCAGAUGGUGCUGGCCCAAGGCCGGCCCUUGUGGGGUCAGAGGGAUGGGUGGGGAGCAGCGGGAGGGCAGAGGGGCUGCAGUAGGACAGGGACGCAAACACCCACCCCCACUGCAGCUGGGGAGUGAGCGGAAGGACGAGUGCCUCGUCCUGGGGGCCAACCGGCAGCUUUUCUCUCCACAGCUCCUGCUGCCCUUCACCAUGUGCCAGCUGGUGGCUGUGGAGGAGAGGGCCGCAGCGUGCAUUGGCAGGCUGCUCGCCUUCACCAACACCUGCUCCUUGCCAGAGCUGUGCUCCUGCUUCAUGGGAACCGCCAUCUUCCAGCACAAGUGCCAGGAGAACCAAUGCUUCCCUGUGCUGGGGAAGCUGGCCGGACACCUCAUCCUGUGCUGCACCUCCACGGAUGAGAGGACCAGAGAUGAGGCGAUGAAGGCUGUCUGUCAGCUUUUCACCUUCAUCACCACCCCAAGACUGUCGCUGGAGAAGGAGCCCAAGGUACCACAGCUCUGGGAGAGCCAGCUAGCUUUGCUCCACCAGGAGGCUUCCCGUGAGAACAGAGCCACUAAUAUCUUCCAGGUCCUUCUGAAAUACCUCCUGUACCCUGAAAGGGUGAAUGUCUUACUCAUGACCAUUGAGAAUAUGACAGCGCCGAGCCUCCACAGCACCGAUCUGGCUGCCCACAUGAUAGAUUUGCUCGCAGCAGAGGCUCACUUCCCUCCACAGCAGGUGCGAAAGAUCAUGAAGACCAUCCACAACAGCCUGCCUUCCAUCAAAGACAAGGCAGCUCUCAAAAGCCUGGGCAGGGCCCUGCUCGUGCUGACCAGCAAAUUCCCGAAGGAGAUGGUUAGCAGCCUGCUGGUCUGCUCCCCCACCUGCACCAGGCAGCAAGGACCCUACCUGAGAUACUCCAGCUGCCUCUGGUCCUGA
rnacentral:lncRNA from 1 species